UACCAGCACCCCGAGUGGUCGGGACGAUUAUUGGGCCUAAAGCAUCCGUAGCCGGCCUUACAAGUCCUCCGUUAAAUCCAGCUGCUUAACAGAUGGGCUGCGGAGGAUACUAUAAGACUAGGAGGCAGGAGAGGCAAGCGGUACUCAGUGGGUAGGGGUAAAAUCCAUUGAUCUACUGAAGACCACCAGUGGCGAAGGCGGUUUGCCAGAACGCGCUCGACGGUGAGGGAUGAAAGCUGGGGGAGCAAACCGG
rnacentral:rRNA from 1 species